GAUGAACGCUGGCGGUAUGCUUAACACAUGCAAGUCGAACGGACUCUUCGGAGUUAGUGGCGGACGGGUGAGUAACGCGUGAGAAUCUGGCUUUGGGUUCGGGACAACCACUGGAAACGGUGGCUAAUACCGGAUGUGCCGAGAGGUAAAAGAGAAAUUGCCUGAAGAUGAGCUCGCGUCUGAUUAGCUAGUUGGUGAGGUAAAGGCUCACCAAGGCAGCGAUCAGUAGCUGGUCUGAGGGGAUGACCAGCCACACUGGGACAGAGACACGGCCGAGACUCCUACGGGAGGCAGGAGUGGAGAAUUUUCCGCAAUGGGCGAAAGCCUGACGGAGCAAUACCGCGUGAGGGAAGAAGGCUCUUGGGGUGUAAACCUCUUUUCUUAGGGAAGAACAAAAUGACGGUACCUAAGGAAUCAGCAUCGGCUAACUCCGUG
rnacentral:rRNA from 1 species